rnacentral:rRNA from 1 species
AACUUUCAACAACGGAUCUCUUGGUUCUCGCAUCGAUGAAGAACGCAGCGAAAUGCGAUAAGUAUUGUGAAUUGCAGAUUUUCGUGAAUCAUCGAAUCUUUGAACGCACAUUGCGCCCUGUGGUAUUCCGCAGGGCAUGUCUGUUUGAGCGUCAUUUCU